rnacentral:miRNA from 1 species
GCGUAGGUGCGCGGGGCGA